rnacentral:lncRNA from 1 species
UAUUUUUCAAAUAUUUAUAUUUUUUGGACUAAUCUUACAAAGCUCGCCCUUUAUUUAGGCUAUCUUGAGCUAUUUCCUCCUCUAUUUAAUCCCGUCUUCUCUAUUAUUAGCCGGCGAAACUUCCGACAAUGGCACGUUUUCAGUCCUUUGACUCCUUUCUGUUACUAUGUGCUGUGGUUUACACAAUCCUCCUCCCCUUCGCAGCCUCCGAUGCGGCGUAUCCUCCUCCCUAUGGGCUUGGUUCCACCGAGGAAGAUCUUGUCCCCGUCNNNNNN